GAUGAACGCUGGCGGCGUGCCUAAUACAUGCAAGUCGAGCGAACAGAUGAGGAGCUUGCUCCUCUGACGUUAGCGGCGGACGGGUGAGUAACACGUGGAUAACCUACCUAUAAGACUGGGAUAACUUCGGGAAACCGGAGCUAAUACCGGAUAAUAUAUUGAACCGCAUGGUUCAAUAGUGAAAGACGGUUUUGCUGUCACUUAUAGAUGGAUCCGCGCCGCAUUAGCUAGUUGGUAAGGUAACGGCUUACCAAGGCAACGAUGCGUAGCCGACCUGAGAGGGGGAUCGGCCACACUGGAACUGAGAAACGGCCAAGCUCCCUACGGGAGGCAGCAGUAGGGAUUCUUCCGAAAUGGGCGAAAGCCUGACGGAGCAACGCGGCGUGAGUGAUGAAGGUCUUCGGAUCGUAAAACUCUGUUAUUAGGGAAGAACAAUGUGUAAGUAACUAUGCACGUCUUGACGGUACCUAAUCAGAAAGCCACGGCUAACUACGUG
rnacentral:rRNA from 1 species